GUUGAAGUGACAAAUUGUGUCAUAGAUGGAUGGGCAAGGUUUCUUAAUCAUAAAAAGCCGAGAAACAAGAUUUAUUUCUCAACAGUGCUUCAUCACAUUAUGUGCACAAAUAGAGUUUGUCGAGAAGGAUCAUCAAUGAAGACAAGAAUUAAUGCCUUCAUAGAAAGAAUUGACAAUGAACUGAAGUUGAAUAAAAUUGACAGCAUUGUUGGAUAUAAACAGGUCUUCUUCCCAGUAUCAACUUCUCAACAUUUUUUUCUGUUGUGCGUCAAUCAUAUAGAAGACAAAAUUCAUAUAAUUGACAAUAGAAAACU